ACUCAAAGGAAUUGACGGGGACCCGCACAAGCGGUGGAGCAUGUGGUUUAAUUCGAGGCAACGCGAAGAACCUUACCAGCUCUUGACAUCCUAUUCGCCGUGUCUGUAAUGGACACUUCGGUUCGGCCGGAAUAGUGACAGGUGCUGCAUGGCUGUCGUCAGCUCGUGUCGUGAGAUGUUGGGUUAAGUCCCGCAACGAGCGCAACCCUCAUCUUCAGUUACCAGCGGGUAAUGCCGGGGACUCUGAAGAAACUGCCUGUGUCAAACAGGAGGAAGGCGGGGAUGACGUCAAGUCAGCACGGCCCUUACGAGCUGGGCUACACACGUGCUACAAUGGUGGUGACAAUGGGCCGCUACUUCGCAAGAAGAUGCUAAUCCCAAAAAACCAUCUCAGUUCGGAUUGUUCUCUGCAACUCGAGAACAUGAAGCUGGAAUCGCUAGUAAUCGUAGAUCAGCAUGCUACGGUGAAUACGUUCCCGGGUCUUGUACACACCGCCCGU
rnacentral:rRNA from 1 species